rnacentral:rRNA from 2 species
UACAGAGGGUGCGAGCGUUGUCCGGAAUCACUGGGCGUAAAGGGCGCGUAGGUGGCGGGCCAAGUCCAUGGUGAAAGCUCGAUGCUCAACAUCGAGUCGGCCACGGAUACUGGUUCGCUUGAGCACUGUAGAGGCUAAUGGAAUUCCGGGUGUAGCGGUGGAAUGCGUAGAGAUCCGGAAGAACACCGGUGGCGAAGGCGGUUAGCUGGGCAGUUGCUGACACUGAGGCGCGACAGCGUGGGGAGCAAACAGG